rnacentral:sRNA from 1 species
UGUACAUGAUGUGGAACUGGCAUUUUGAUAGGCAUUUAUAUAUCUGUAGAUGACUUUGGAAAGUAUUGUCAUCUUAACAACAUUAAUCUUUCCAAUACAUUAACAUGUGUGAUGUGUGUGUGUGUGUGUGUGUGUGUUUGUGCCGCAGUCCGGCUGCAG